ensembl:snRNA U6 U6 spliceosomal RNA
GUUUGUUUUUUAAAUUAAAAAUAAUUUUGUAGCAUGGCCCCUGCACAAGGAUGACACACAAAUUCGUGAAGCGUUCCAUAUUUCA